rnacentral:rRNA from 1 species
CCCUUGUAUUUUAUUUUUAUUGAAUUAUUUUUGAGCAUAAAAAUUAAAAAUUUUGGCAGUUAAUUAUAUAUUAGAGGAGCUUGUUAGAGUUAGGAAUUUACUCCUUAAAUUUUAAUAAAUAUAUUGUUUAUUCAUUUCUGUUAUAAAAUAAUGUAAUAAAGNUUUAUUUAAAAUUUCAGGUCAAGAUGUAGCAUUUAUUAUUGAUAAUUAGCUACAAUUAUAUAUUAUUUGGUUAGAGNNUUGUAUUAAAUUUUUAUAAAUUGAAUUUAGUUGUAAUAGUGUUUAGAAUAUUACUAUGAUUUANAAUUAUUAAUGU